rnacentral:rRNA from 1 species
UGGGGAAUUUUGGACAAUGGGCGAAAGCCUGAUCCAGCAAUGCCGCGUGUGUGAAGAAGGCCUUCGGGUUGUAAAGCACUUUUGUCCGGAAAGAAAUCCUUGGCUCUAAUACAGUCGGGGGAUGACGGUACCGGAAGAAUAAGCACCGGCUAACUACGUGCCAGCAGCAGCGGUAAUACGUAGGGUGCAAGCGUUAAUCGGAAUUACUGGGCGUAAAGCGUGCGCAGGCGGUUUGCUAAGACCGAUGUGAAAUCCCCGGGCUCAACCUGGGAACUGCAUUGGUGACUGGCAGGCUAGAGUAUGGCAGAGGGGGGUAGAAUUCCACGUGUAGCAGUGAAAUGCGUAGAGAUGUGGAGGAAUACCGAUGGCGAAGGCAGCCCCCUGGGCCAAUACUGACGCUCAUGCACGAAAGCGUGGGGAGCAAACAGGAUUAGAUACCCUGGUAGUCCACGCCCUAAACGAUGUCAACUAGUUGUUGGGGAUUCAUUUCCUAGUAACGUAGCUAACGCGUGAAGUUGACCGCCUGGGGAGUACGGUCGCAAGAUUAAAACUCAAAGGAAUUGACGGGG